UACGUAGGGUGCGAGCGUUGUCCGGAAUUAUUGGGCGUAAAGGGCUCGUAGGCGGUUUGUCGCGUCGGGAGUGAAAUCCACUGGCUUAACUGGUGGCUUGCUUUCGAUACGGGCAGACUGGAGGUAUGCAGGGGAGAACGAAUUCCUGGUGUAGCGGUGAAAUGCGCAGAAUAUCAGGAGGAACACCGGUGGCGAAGGCGGUUCUCUGGGCAUGUCCUGACGCUGAGGAGCGAAAGUGUGGGGAGCGAACAGGA
rnacentral:rRNA from 1 species